GCGCGCGUAGCUCAGUGGUAGAGCACCCGACUGAUAAUCGGGAGAUCAUAGGUUCGAUCCCUAUCGCGCGCA
rnacentral:tRNA from 1 species